GGUUUCCAGUGUCCUCCUGGUUUAAUGUCCAAGUCUUUUGAAAAUAGUUGCUGAAUUUCAUCAAAACUAAUUUCACUCAUAUUUACAUCAAUAAGGCCUCUCAUGUAAGGCAGUUUCUCUGGACAAGCCUGGUAAGGAGAGUAAGUGAAGUUUUCUGGAAGAUACAUUGUUGUUUGAGCAACACAGUCACUAGAAUUGUUUCCUUCAGGAUAAUCUGUUCCAUUCAGUGUUGUAUUUUUGUUAGUAUACAAUCUGAUCAUGUGUCCUAUUGUUUUUACAUUUUCUCUCAACAUUAUACCACGUGCUU
rnacentral:lncRNA from 1 species